rnacentral:rRNA from 1 species
GACCUCAAAUCAGGUAAGAAUACCCGCUGAACUUAAGCAUAUCAAUAAGCGGAGGAAAAGAAAAUAACAAUGAUUCCCUCAGUAACGGCGAGCGAAGAGGGAUAAGCUCAAAUUUUAAAUCUGUUGGGUUCCACUUAACAGAGUUGUAUUUUGAAGAAACGUUUUCUGCAUCCAGGAUUAGCCUAAAUCCUUUGGGAUAAGGUAUCAUGGAGGGUGAGAAUCCCGUUCAUGGUUAAUCUUAAGGAAGCUCUACGAUACGUUUUCCAAGAGUCGAGUUGUUUGGGAUUGCAGCUCAAAAUGGGAGGUAAAUUUCUCCUAAGGCUAAAUAUUGGCGAGAGACCGAUAGCGAACAAGUACCGUGAGGGAAAGAUGAAAAGAACUUUGAAAAGAGAGUUAAACAGUACGUGAAAUUGUUGAAAGGGAAACGAUUGAAGUCAGUCAUACCAACGGGAAAUCAACCUUUUGAGCUCGGUCUCGUGGGUUUUGAAGAGUUUCAAAGCCUUCGGAUUCGCGGGAUUGGGAUCUCUUGGUGUACUUUUUCGUACGGUUAGUCAACAUCGGUUUUGAAUGUCAUAAAAUGACUGGAGGAAUGUAGCUUCGAUCUCGUAUUGAAGUGUUAUAGCCUUUGGUAGAUGUGAUGUUUGAGACCGAGGAUUGCAACGGAUACCCUUCAGGGCUAUUCGUCUGAUCUCUGAUACGUUGCCUUGAUGUUGAAAGCUUGCUUAUGAUGUUAGGGUAUUACGGUCAAAAGGUUAGAACGGAUUAGAUUCGUUAAGGAUGUUGACGUAAUGACUUUAAACGACCCGUCUUGAAACACGGACCAAGGAGUCUAACAUAUAUGCGAGUGUUUGGGUGAUUAAACCCUUGCGCGUAAUGAAAGUAAUUUUGGUGAGAUCCGGGAAAAAAUUUUCGGAGCAUCAUCGACCGAUCAGGAUAUUUUUUGAUAGAUUUGAGUAAGAGCA